GGGGUAAUAGCUCAGUUGGUUAGAGCAGCGGACUCAUAACCCGCCGGUCCCUGGUUCAAGUCCAGGUUGCCCCA
rnacentral:tRNA from 1 species